rnacentral:misc_RNA from 1 species
CUAAUUCUUUUUAAUUGUCUCUAUAAAAUCAUACAUGUAGUUCAUAUUUAAAAGUUAUAUUAUGCUAGGUAUGUUGACAAAAAGAACUUUUGGCGCAUUUGCAUCAAAAAGUAGUUCGCUUUAUAAAAUUAUUUGUAAAUUAAAUUUUAAAUAUAUGAUUUUGUAAUGGUACAUUGUUAAAAUUCUAGCUUAAUUCUGGUUAAAUGCAAG